rnacentral:rRNA from 1 species
UACGAAGGGUGCAAACGUUGCUCGGAAUUAUUGGGCGUAAAGCGCACGUAGGCGGCUUUGCAAGUCGGAUGUGAAAUCCCUCGGCUCAACCAAGGAAGUGCAUCCGAAACUGCAGAGCUUGAGUACUUAAGAGGAUCGCGGAAUUCCCGGUGUAGAGGUGAAUUCGUAGAUAUCGGGAGGAACACCAGUGGCGAAGGCGGCGAUCUGGGAAGAUACUGACGCUGAGGUGCGAAAGCGUGGGAGCAACAGG